GUAAAGACUGGUUAACUUAAAAUUAUGAAUUUUUAUGGAGUGAUGUUUCUGCCAGCGUAGUGCUGUACUACAUAACUGCUUUAGGAUUUGAAGUAAUUGGUUGCUUUACAAGUGAGAAUCUGCUAAUAUAUAAAAGAAAACAAGAUGUGGUAUGAUUGCAAAUAAGACAACUCUCCGCAAGAGACCAAAUGACACAGAAAUUAACAACUAUAAGGCACCAUACGGCCUUCAACAAUGAGCAAUUCCAUACUGCAUAGUGAGCUAUAAAAGGCCCCGAAAUGACAAAUGUAAAACAAUUCAAACGAGAAAACUAAUGGCCCAAUUCAUGUACCGAAAAUGAACGAAAAACAAAUAUUUAACACAUAAACAAACGACAACCACUGAAUUACAUGCACCUGACCUUGGAGAGGCAUAUACAUACAGAAUGUGGCGGGGUUGAACAUGUAAGGGGGACCCCAACUCUCCUCCUAACCUGGGACAGUGGUGUAACAGUACAACAUAAGAACGAACUAUCAAAUUUAGUUGAAAGAGGCUUAAUUCAUCAGAUGGAUUCAAAUGAAAAUACAUCUAACAAAAACACAGAGUGGAGACGGCUGGGUACUUGUAUAUUCCAACAAUAAACAGACACUUUCUGAUCUGAGUGUACUCGC
rnacentral:lncRNA from 1 species